UGAAGUUAAUAACCUGCAGUAGUGCUCCAUUGUUGCCAAACACACCGAAAAAUUAAUAAAAAAUUAGUAUUCUGCUUCUUAUUUUACUUUGUUUUUUUCCUCGAAACUGGAGAUUUCACAGCAUUUGAGCUCGAAUUACUGGGCAAACAAACUCCUCGGAACUGGUAAAUAAAAAGUAGAAGUAGCAACCUCCGAAAGGUACUUAGGACAAACACCUGUGCUGACGCUUGAAAGCAACUCAACAUUGCCUUUUUGCUCAUGCCCUUUAUGCCUUUUUCUGAGUGUCUGGUCCCUGGUGGAGUAAACAGCAAUCACUGAUGGAAGAAGCAUUGUCCCCUUGUAGGUUGCCCCCCCAACUGAGCUCCACACCGUAUACAUGCUUGCUUCUGCCUCUAGAACUAGCCGCACUAUUGUUGUUUCACUGUGGUUGCUUGUGGUUGCGGGCUUGCGGCUAAGGAAUGGUAUUCAUGUGUGGCUGGGUCUAUGCCCAACUCAACUCAUGAGUAUAUUUUGCUUGGUCCUGAGUGCUGCAUACAGGUGCAGCUUAGUCAUGCCAUAUCAAUUCCAGGCAAGAGACACGCUGCAAUCAUUGUUGCAUAUGCAGCCACCGCAGUCAGCGGUAGGAUUGGUGUUCCCAAUCCCAGCGGCAGCACACAAGUUUGGCUCUGCCAUAUAGUGAAAUGCCAUCCAAAACCAUUAUAACUGUGUCUCCUAUUUUUGUUUAAAAAAUCAGGGGUAGAUUUCUGUGAACUCAACUGCAAUUUAUAUCUAGUCGCUGUAUGUGUCUUUGUCGCCCAAUCCAAAACCAAAGUAUUCUCUAGAACUUUCCCCCAUGAGGCAGCACUGAAGAGUUUGCUUAUUUCUUCAGGUUACAUAUUCGUUUUAUUUGAAAAAAACUAUACCUGUACUUAGAUGAUAACUAGGCAUGCAUGGUUGCAGUUCGAUAUUUCUUACUUCAUCAGCUAGCUUGGUCAAAGGUGGGAGGUGUGCAUGAGAGAGGGAGCUGCAUAAGUUCAAUCAUAUAUAGCACUAGCUUAGGAGUUAUGAGUUGAACACUAAAAUUGGUUUUAGAAAGAAAUAAAAAAAUGUUAAAACACUAGUAACAAUCAGCAUUUGGAAAGGAUUGCUAGCUACUUUGCUAGGGCAUCUGGCUUAACAUAGACUGCAUCAUCAGUUAUAGAAUAUAUAACUGACAAUGCAGUCUAUAUUGUAAUCUUGUGCCGCAUAGUCCCCUGUGAGCCAUCUAGUGGUGUGCAUGCGCCCCAUACGGCCCGCGUUGUAAAAAUAAAUUAUCAUUUUCUCUUCUUAAUGGAAUAAUACGCAGCUCUCCUGCGUAUUCUCGAAAAAAGUUAUAGAAUAUAUAGAUAGAUUCAACUGAACUUUUCCUCCCUUGUUUUGGAUGAUAUUAUUUUUCCUUCUUGUGGACUGAUAUAUAAAUGAACUUUCGAAUUCCCGCAUGGUUCCUUGAAUAAAAUUCUUUAUAUAUUUCACUUUGCUCAUUCUGCACAUUGUGAGGUUAUAUACUGUUUUAUAAAUAGGAGUGAAGCAUUUCCAUCUGCUUCUGUGGAAUAGAUUUUAAAGAAUUUUGAUCUGAAUUGAGUGGUCCUUGUUCUUUUGCAGCCCAAUGAUUCGAUUCAUUUCUGAGAUAGGUGGAAUAGAAAUAUUGUUUUCUUUCAAGAAAAGAACUGGUAGAAAUAUAAUAGAUCAAUGUUAUAUUUGGUAGCUCAUGGGCCUUGGUCCAUGCAUGGAUGACAUCAUACAUACUUCUCCAGCGUGGAAUGAACACAAUAAUGAGGCAAGUACAAGGAGCCUUUUCCCUUGGUCGCAUAUCUUUCGUUUUAGUUUCUUAUAUGCAUGUCCAGGGAGCAUUCUUUCAAGUGCAUCUAUCUAUAUGCGUAACGUAGCGUCUAUUAACCUCUUACAUGCAUGGCCACAAUAUGAUGGAAUCCUUUUUUUUAUUUGUUUGCUUGGGAAUAAGAUUGGCACAUGAAUAAUUGUACAUGCAGUGUGAAAACUGUAGAUGUGUAUGGCGGAUUAACUAUAGAUUUAGAAGGGCUGUGAGCAGAAAUGAUGGGGUCUCACAUGAGGGCUUUCACGCAGGCAUCAUGUUAUCUUCCUCUACAAACAAACAUCCCCUUCCCCUUCCCUCUCUCCAUGUACUUAAUUAUACCCACUUCGAUGCCCCCUCUCACUCAUCUCAUCUCAUCCUCCAUCGAUCUCAUUCAUGCAUGUUGCUGCGGCCUGCCUGGUUCCCAACACCCCUGCCUUUUCCACACCUUCUUUCUAACCUCAUACACGCGCAAAUAAUUCCAUCAUAUUGUGGCUGCCUUUUUUCCUCUCGGACUGUUGCCACUGACAUGCAGGCCCGUAUGUAACCCAUCAUACCAUGUAGUAUACACAGCUAGGUAGUAGUUGAGAGGUGUGAUGCAGGCCAUGCUUUACCGGAGUGUGUAAUGCUUGCAUUGCUUGAAGAGUGUGUGUCUGCAUGACCGGCUUGUGGUCAGGCCGUGUAUGUGGGGCUCUUGCACUAUAUAAGCCGGAAGCUCGAUCAUCAGUUGGUGGGAGGCAUGCAAUGCAUUCAUCCAUGUCUUCUUUGCUGCUCCUAUGCAUAUAUAUAUGCUUGCUGACUUUGAUCCCUUAAAGUAACGGCCAGGAAGCAUUGCCCUUCGCUCCCUGCAUUGGUAACAACUCCUUCAGACGGUGUCACUAUCCGGCAUCUCUAGCUUUCUCUUCUGUAAUCUUGUCAUCUCUGCUGGCUUGUGCUUGCUCCACAUAAUCCUUGGGCCAUGAUCACCAGCGUGUUCUCUGUGGUAGGUGAGUUAAUGUUACUGUUAUUACCCUUUCUUUCACGUCAUUAGUUAACCUAAUAUUUGCGAACUUGCCAUUUUUUUCACCUUACCUGUUCUCUAGAGAUAGACAUUUCUUUACUGAUCAACUUGGUAAAUAUACGACAGUGAGUCUGUGUUAUCAUUCUACAUAUCCCUUUGAAAAGAAGUGGCAUGCCUUUGCUUCUAAACCUGUCCAAGUACUUCUUGUAUUGAUGCUCAUGGCAUGUAUUUAUAACCACAUAUAUGAUGAAACUGAGUUUUAGUUAGUUUUCAUUCUUUAGCCUGAUCUGUUCAUGAUCUGGACAAGUUUUUCCAUGCAUGCGCCCUUUAGUCUUCUCCAUAUCGUUUCUUAAGCAUCCUGCUCUAGGUAUCAAACUAGCAAUUAGUUGCCCUGCUAGAAUACUCCUGUCCAGUUCUGCCUUACCAAUUAUGAUCUUGUCCUUUGCAUCAUAUAGUCGCUAUACUGUAAUUGAGGUCUACACAUCCUCACUGAUUCCUUGAAGAGUUACUCCAGACGAGGGCACACACCUGUGAGAGAGAGCUAGUGUGAUGAUCUGUGAUAGAAUUUCCUGUUGAUGUGACCACUACUGGUGUUAAUUGUGAUAGAACAUGGCCACCAUAAGUACUGCUAUCCGAGAAGUUCGAAUGAUGUGCCACUAAUAUCCUGUCCUGAAAUUUGUUUCCCAUUAAUUGCAGAUAGUGGAUGAAGGUUAGGCUCUAGCUACAUAACACGUGUCCUAGGGACUCAUAUAGCAAGUCAUAUAUAGUUGAUCUGCUUGAAGCCCUGAACACAAGUUAUCCAAAAGAAAAUUCCGAAAAAGUUAUUCAAUCAAACUAGUUGGAAUAUAUUCAAAUGUAACGAAAAACACAUGUCUCGAUAUAUUUUCGUCCAUAUAUAGCCUUCUUUCUAGAAAAGAAGAAGGGUUUAUUUUUCUUUCUAAAAGCGUUUUUUAGAACAUGAGCCUUGUGUGUGUUCUUAUAAAUAGAACGAACGAGGAAUUAUCAGUCAUUGAGUUAGUCCCUGCUAAUACGGCUGUUGUAGAAUAAAUGGAUUCAUUUAAUUUAUUCACAUCCUUCAUACAGAUUGACAAAGAAUGAUUGCUCACCCUUCGAUUCGGAUCACAUAUAGGAAAUGAUUAGUCAUAUCCUUCAAAUUCUUGUGAAAGGGUGCCUGGCCGGAUUGGUUAGGUGCAGUAGCACUCCUUAGGCCCUGGUUCGACUCCCGGUGGGAGCGAAUUUCAAGCUGAGGUUAAAAAAAUCCCCUCGCCUAUAGAGACGCCAAAGCACGUGGAAAUAGGUCUUGGCUCAUCCCGGCCCGCUCUUACACGAGUUACGGUAUGGAUUACGACGCUCUUGUGUAAGGGUGGGGCUUCUUACAUUAAUGCCCGGUGGGCGGCUUGCCCCUCGCAGGUCGAGUUUUUCAUAUCCUUCAAAUUCUUGCUCAAUUAAGAAUUAUUUAUUUAGUCCAACAGCUAACGGGCACACACACUUUUGAUAUAUUUCCACAUCUUUUUCUAGAUAUAAAUUUUUUACUUUUAUAUUAGAAAAAAUGAUGCAAAGUAUUAGAAAUAUAUAUAGUGGUACAUGUAUGAACAUCUUAUAUCAUAUGUAGUUGGUCAAGUGGACUGAAAAAUGAUGAGGACUAAUGCUACAGCUCUUCGAAAACAAUUUAUAUAACUCCAGGUUCAACCUGGUUCACAUAGUAAACGUAUAUCUUGUGAAAUAUUGGUAUAAAGUAAAUGAGACGAUUCAGUGAAAUAUCAUUUGGGCUUUAGAAUGCAUUUUUUUUUGCAUGUUAAUCUCUCUCUCUCUCUCUCUCCCCCCACCACGUCACUUUAGGGAUUUCAUAUUAUAUAUCUAACUUGCCAUAAUAGUAUUCCACUUAAAGUAAAAAAGUGAUGCCAAAAGUACAUUAUAUAGAAUCACAGCAAAAUACAAUAUGUAAUGUGGUUAUUGAGUUAAUUUGUUGAUAGACCAACAACUGAAAGAGUGACAUUACCUAUUACAAAUCACGAUUCAUGAAGCGUCUAAGUUAUCCAUGACCUUAUUUCAUAUAGAAACACAGUGAUGAAGUAUAUUCAGUACAACAUCAUCCUGAAGGAAAUAAUAAGUAGUACACUCAUCUCAAUAUAUAUAGUCUUAUUUACAUGUCAUUCCGGAGAUCAAAUUACUUAGCUGUCCAAUCGAUCCGAUAUGAUAAUCAUCAUUACUGUAGCUCUUAAGAUGAUAUUUCUAUAUAUAUGAGGUAUUAUGUUUGAUUAAUUUGCAUCAUCACUUCCAUGGAUCAACUUGGCUGCUGGAUGUUGACGUUGACGCAUAGUCAGUAGCCACCUCUUGCUUCUCAUUGACCUGAAUAAUAUCUCCUUCGUCAGUAUAAUCUACACCCUUUGUUGCAUCAUGACUAAGUUGAGAUGCAACAAACUUGUCUAGAACUCUCCAAUCGGUGACUUGGUCUACUGCAUCAUCCAUGAGCUGAACAUGCUGGUGAGCAUGGUGCGAAUUUGAUUGAUGAUCUGGUGAGACCAACAGAGAAUGGAAAGAAGGACUCUCUAGCUCGUGAGGAAUGGUGUUGAGAACAUGAUGGCUUGGCAUUUGGAAUUGUAGCUUCAGUUCCCUCUUGUAGGUAUUGUUCAGCAUUUGGAGGUGCUGUUCUUGCAGCUGUGACAUGGCGUGAUGUGGUGGCAUUCUGCUCAUGGGAGAGUUAAGGUCAUGCAUGAAGGGUCCAUCUUCAUCAAGAUACCAGCAUGGUGCAUCAUGGUAAUGCUGGUUGCAAAAUGAUCGAGUAACAACGACAACUGAGAAGGCUAUCAGCUGGCUACUGAAGGAGAUGUGUGUCGAAGAAUUGAUCAAUACACAAAAUAUAAUGACCACUAAGACCAAUGUGACAUUUUAGGAUUUCCAUUUUGAACUCUUUAUGCAUGAUAUAAUGUAUUUUGAAACACAUUGAUUAUAUACAUGAUAAAUAAAAGAUCAAUGACUUGCCUGCGGAGGGCCAUUCUCA